GGACACAUAGCUCAGUGGAUAGAGCAUUUCCCUCCUAAGGAAAGGGUCGCAGGUUCGAUCCCUGCUGUGUCCG
rnacentral:tRNA from 1 species